GUCCCAAAUGACAUCUCGUUAAGUAGUGGUGCCGCUCUUAUUAGAAUUAUCAAGUAAUAAGAGUUGUUCGCUACUUAACGAGAGGAAAUUUGGA
rnacentral:pre_miRNA from 18 species